rnacentral:lncRNA from 10 species
CGCAGAUGAGUUGAGUGCACGAACUGGCCAUUUCCAAAGGGCCAAGACUUGAGAAGUACGUUUAUAGUGAGCUAAGGGCCUAUGAAAACAAUCCCACUGCAUUUCCCUGCUGAUGCAGCCUACAAACUGGGAAUGAUAAGGACAAAGCUCAGUGGCUCAGGCUGUACGUCAGAAGCAUCUUCUAAAGAUCAGUUUUAGAAAGUUCUGUUUACAGUCUGAGGCACAAAGAUUUUACAAACAGGAAUUGGCCAAGAAAACAUGUGGAAACACCUGGCUGGCCAUCAUCUUAACCAAGUGAUAAGAGUGAACAUCACCAGUAAUGAGACACAUCAUCAUCAUCUGUCUCCUGAUAUGAGGUACUAAGAAGAACAUAGCACACUUCUGUGUUAUUUCUGUCAAAAAUUCAAAAAUCACAAGAAAACAUCAAGCAAACACACAUGGAGAGACGUUUUACAAAGUAACUGACCUGUACUCUUCAAAAAUGUCAACUAUAUGAAAGAUAGAAGACUGAAGAAAUCCCCCAGAUAUUGAGGCAUAAUACAGGACCUUGGGCUCUAAGAUCGGAUUGUUUGCGAAUGAAUUGUGCUCUGCCACCCUGCAGUUGAAUAAUCUCGGGGAAGUUACUUAACAAUUCACUCAUAUUUAAAAUGGGAAUAAUGGCAAUACCUACUUCCCAGGGCUGUUAUGAGGUUCAAGUGAGAACCUCCAUGUAAAGGGUGAAACCCAGGGCCUGGUACAGAUGAAGGGCUCUGUAAGUAUUAGCCAAUAUGAACUUUUAUUACUGCAUGCUCAGUAAAUGUUUGUUGAAUGCAGAGAUGAUUAUUGUGAGGAUGGGAAACAAGUAAGUAGAGUGAGGCAGCUUCCUAAAGUCAGUCAGAGAAAGUAGCCAUAGGUUUUGGAGACUGAGGAGAAGGACAUUUGUGACAUGUUCAACUUAGUUUCUCAUUUAAGCAUUCAUUGCUAAGCAUUGUGACAGAUCCAGAAGUGGAAACCAUGCUUACCAUCUUUAAGGUGCUUUCAGCAAAGAUGGAGAAAGCAGACAAAAGCCCAGGAGACAUAGCAAAGAAUGUUAGGUAACAGUUAUGAGCGAACUGCUAAACUAUUUGGCUAAACCAUGAGGACUGCAAGAGUUCAGAAAACGUGCAUUGUGGUGCUCAUAACUACUUGCAUUGACCUGAUGAAUUGCACUUCCCAAAGACUGUUUAUGUUAUCUCACUUCAUCCUCCUAACUCUGAAGUAAGCAAGCAGGCAUUAUCAUCUCCAUUUUAGGACAAGCAAGCCAAGGCUCAGAGAAACAAGUGAUUUUCCCAAAGUUGGGAUGGGCACUUGGGUUACUCCUCUACCCUGCUCAGUCUCUAAGGACUGGAGGAGUGAAUCACGAAGGGUUACAGAGAGAGGGAAAUAGACAAAGUCAGAAAAGCAGUUAUACCCAGCGAUCACAGAUGGAUUUGCUACUCCUCCCUUAAAACCACUGUAUUCUAGAAAACCCUUAAAAGAGGCCUAGAAAAGAUAAAGUAAAAGAUCAAAGGAGAUAUUAGACAUUAAAGAGCAAAAAUAUGUUUGAAAGCCAAAAAUUAACCAGAAACAUGUAUGAUAAAUCACACCAUGAGAAUCGGGGGCUGUCUAUCAAACAGUAACUUGCACGGCUCAGGAAAUAGUAGAUACAGCCACACUUCUCCUGGAAGUCUGCCUGCACGCUGUGAGGUUUUGGCUCCGUAAAAAUAGUGAGAGCCAAGAUUAUCAAACACCUGAAGUGGCAAAGCACUUAUUUCUGCUUGAAAACAGUUUGGCCACGCCAAUUUGCCACACCUUCUAAGUCAUCUCUAAAAUAACUUAAAAAAAAUAAAAUCAAUGUUACCAACAUUACAUAUGACUCUUGUCAAACCGUCUUUGCUAUUUUGUAAAUUAAUAAAUAGCUCUUGAAAAAAAUGGCACUUGCAGCAAGAUAUACAUUUACCAUCUCAUUACUAGCAUGCCAUUUGCAUCUAAACCUACUUCCUUUACAGAACAUGGCAAAUAGCAGAAUAACACCAAAACUAGGUCCAAUUAUAUAAAGUGUCUUCAGCCUUCCCUCACUCUAACACACUUUUCUAUGACAUCCCACUGUCCAAAAAUACUAAUGUGCCUGUUCACCUACACAGAGCUUGAUUUAAUUAAAACUUCUAAGUUCUGGUUCCCAUUUUCUGAUCACCCUGUCUUCUGAGUGAUAGCACAUUAAAAUGAGCUAGAAUUCCUGCUGGCUGUUAUAAUUCAGAUAUGAGCCUCUUGAGAAACAAAUUAGUAGGGUAGAUGAUCUGCAAAGUUAUUUUUACUCCAAGGAGUUUGAUAUGUUAGGUGGUUUGUCUAGAUUUCUAGGUAUAAAUUUCUUGUUAAAAAUAGUUCCAGGGUUGUUCUCCUUGUGGUGGUCAAGAUCAUAGAAGAAAUUACUCGCAUCAUGAAUGGUGUCCUCUAUUGUUGUGUUUCUUCUCUAAU